rnacentral:lncRNA from 1 species
UUGUAGCAGCAUGAUCAUUGUAUCUUGAACAAAUAAUACUAUUUUUAAAUCUGUUGAUUAAUACCAGAUUGGUUGUAUAGAAAGCUUUAGCUUUCCUCCCUGGAUUCAUGUCUCAGAUCUCACUCUUUGGAAAAAUUUAUCAUGGGAUGGGCCAGGCCUGGAUCAAAUUUAUCAUGGAAAAAUUUUUCCAUCCUCCACAAUCUGGCUGACUCCUCCUUGGGUGGGCAGCCUGUUGGAUGGCUUGUUUCAUCCUAUCGCUUACAAGGGAACAUCAUACCUGAUGUGUCUGGGAUUUUGCCGAUGUUUUGUCAUCUGAAAGAGCAUGGGAAGUGGAUGAGGAGUCGCCCCUAUAUUGGGGGCCGCUGCUCUGGUGUUUUUGAGAGGAUCGCUUUUGAAAUUUCGGAGGUUUUUGAUUUUGCUUAGGUAGCGAACGCUCGG